AGGAUGAACGCUGGCGGCGUGCUUAACACAUGCAAGUCGAACGCUGAAGCUCCAGCUUGCUGGGGUGGAUGAGUGGCGAACGGGUGAGUAACACGUGAGUAACCUUCCCUUGACUCUGGGAUAAGCCCGGGAAACUGGGUCUAAUACCGGAUAUGACCUCCUGUCGCAGUGGGUGGGGGGUGGAAAGAUUUAUCGGUCUUGGAUGGACUCGCGGCCUAUCAGCUUGUUGGUGAGGUAAUGGCUCACCAAGGCGACGACGGGUAGCCGGCCUGAGAGGGUGACCGGCCACACGUGGGACUGACGACACGGCCCAGACCGUCCGUACGGGAGGCCAGCAGGUGGGAAUAUUGACACGAAGU
rnacentral:rRNA from 1 species